rnacentral:lncRNA from 1 species
AAGAAGAUGAUGUUGAAGGGAUUCCUGACGGUAUUUCCCGACUUCUUGAGCAAGAAAAUAAGAUCACUCAGCUGCAUCUCGAGAAUCAGCAGAACAGCCAACUGGGGCAUAAAAAAAACAAAAAAGAAAAAAAAGAGAAAAAAAGAGGAGGGUGCAAAAUCAAAAGAAAUCAAAAGAAAUCCAAAUCAAGAGAAAGAAA